rnacentral:rRNA from 1 species
UGACGGUACCUGACUAAGAAGCCCCGGCUAACUACGUGCCAGCAGCCGCGGUAAUACGUAGGGGGCAAGCGUUAUCCGGAUUUACUGGGUGUAAAGGGUGCGUAGACGGUUUGGCAAGUCAGAAGUGAAAUCCCGGGGCUUAACUCCGGUGCUGCUUUUGAAACUGUCAGACUAGAGUGCUGGAGGGGCAAGCGGAAUUCCUGGUGUAGCGGUGAAAUGCGUAGAUAUCAGGAGGAACACCGGUGGCGAAGGCGGCUUGCUGGACAGUAACUGACGUUGAGGCUCGAAAGCGUGGGGAGCAAACAGGAUUAGAUACCCUG